rnacentral:rRNA from 1 species
AGAGUUUGAUCCUGGCUCAGGACGAACGCUGGCGGCGUGCUUAACACAUGCAAGUCGAACGGAAAGGCCCUUCGGGGUACUCGAGUGGCGAACGGGUGAGUAACACGUGGGUGAUCUGCCCUGCACUUUGGGAUAAGCCUGGGAAACUGGGUCUAAUACCGAAUAUGACCAUGCGCCUCCUGGUGUGUGGUGGAAAGCUUUUGCGGUGUGGGAUGGGCCCGCGGCCUAUCAGCUUGUUGGUGGGGUAAUGGCCUACCAAGGCGACGACGGGUAGCCGGCCUGAGAGGGUGACCGGCCACACUGGGACUGAGAUACGGCCCAGACUCCUACGGGAGGCAGCAGUGGGGAAUAUUGCACAAUGGGCGCAAGCCUGAUGCAGCGACGCCGCGUGAGGGAUGACGGCCUUCGGGUUGUAACCUCUUUCAGCACAGACGAAGCGCAAGUGACGGUACGUGCAGAAGAAGGACCGGCCAACUACGUGCCAGCAGCCGCGGUAAUACGUAGGGUCCGAGCGUUGUCCGGAAUUACUGGGCGUAAAGAGCUCGUAGGUGGUUUGUCGCGUUGUUCGUGAAAACUCACAGCUUAACUGUGGGCGUGCGGGCGAUACGGGCAGACUUGAGUACUGCAGGGGAGACUGGAAUUCCUGGUGUAGCGGUGGAAUGCGCAGAUAUCAGGAGGAACACCGGUGGCGAAGGCGGGUCUCUGGGCAGUAACUGACGCUGAGGAGCGAAAGCGUGGGGAGCGAACAGGAUUAGAUACCCUGGUAGUCC